UACGAAGGGUACAAGCGUUACUCGGAAUUACUGGGCGUAAAGGGUGCGUAGGUGGUCGUUUAAGUCCGUUGUGAAAUCCCUGGGCUCAACCUGGGAAUGGCAGUGGAUACUGGACGGCUAGAAUGCGGUAGAGGGUAGUGGAAUUCCCGGUGUAGCGGUGAAAUGCGUAGAGAUCGGGAGGAACACCAGAGGCGAAGGCGGCGACCUGGAUAGGUACUGACACUCAACUACGAAAGCGUGGGGAGCAAACAGG
rnacentral:rRNA from 1 species